GGUGUCACAGGCCUUGUGGGACUCGAUGCAGUCAUUUCCCUCUAUUAUUGGAGCUUUUUUAUCAGUGAGUUACGAGUCCUUUGCCACCGGCAGUGGCCUGAGCGCUAUACGAUGUACAAAGAAAAGGCAGCUCUGGUGCCAAAGUGCUUAUUGUUCAAAAUGCAGAUUUUUUUUGUUUUUCUUUUUUUCCCUUCAAAGCAAACCAAUAGACGGAAAACCAGAUGAAAAAACAGUGGGAGCCCAGAGACGAGAGAGAAGGAUUUACUUUGUUAUUUAACCUGGGAUCUGCUGCGCUGUGCUCAGCAGCCUGCCCUAAGGAGCCUGCCUUGGGUGGGGUUGGGCUGGGGGAUCUGCAGAGCUUCCUUCCCACCCCUGAAAUCCUGUGAUUCCGUGGUUCUGUCUUCUCCAGGCACCCCUUGAAAUGGAGCCCUGGCAGAGAUCGUAGAUUGGUUUGAGUUGGACGGGACCCUGAAAAGCCAUCUGGUCCCACUCCCCUGCAAUGGGCAGGGUCACCCACAGCUCCUUCAGGAUGCUCAGAGCCUGGUCCAUUUCUGAGUGCUUCAUUGUUUUUAACGUGCCGCAGAAUUCUGUGUCGCCAACUCACGAGUGCAGAU
rnacentral:lncRNA from 1 species